rnacentral:rRNA from 1 species
UGGCUCAGGAUGAACGCUAGCUACAGGCUUAACACAUGCAAGUCGAGGGGCAGCAUCAUCAAAGCUUGCUUUGAUGGAUGGCGACCGGCGCACGGGUGAGUAACACGUAUCCAACCUGCCGACAACACUGGGAUAGCCUUUCGAAAGAAAGAUUAAUACCGGAUGGCAUAGUUUUCCCGCAUGGGAUAAUUAUUAAAGAAUUUCGGUUGUCGAUGGGGAUGCGUUCCAUUAGGCAGUUGGCGGGGUAACGGCCCACCAAACCAACGAUGGAUAGGGGUUCUGAGAGGAAGGUCCCCCACAUUGGAACUGAGACACGGUCCAAACUCCUACGGGAGGCAGCAGUGAGGAAUAUUGGUCAAUGGACGAGAGUCUGAACCAGCCAAGUAGCGUGAAGGAUGACUGCCCUAUGGGUUGUAAACUUCUUUUAUACGGGAAUAAAGUGAGCCACGUGUGGCUUUUUGUAUGUACCGUAUGAAUAAGGAUCGGCUAACUCCGUGCCAGCAGCCGCGGUAAUACGGAGGAUCCGAGCGUUAUCCGGAUUUAUUGGGUUUAAAGGGAGCGUAGGCGGGUUGUUAAGUCAGUUGUGAAAGUUUGCGGCUCAACCGUAAAAUUGCAGUUGAUACUGGCGACCUUGAGUGCAACAGAGGUAGGCGGAAUUCGUGGUGUAGCGGUGAAAUGCUUAGAUAUCACGAAGAACUCCGAUUGCGAAGGCAGCUUACUGGAUUGUAACUGACGCUGAUGCUCGAAAGUGUGGGUAUCAAACAGGAUUAGAUACCCUGGUAGUCCACACAGUAAACGAUGAAUACUCGCUGUUGGCGAUAUACAGUCAGCGGCCAAGCGAAAGCAUUAAGUAUUCCACCUGGGGAGUACGCCGGCAACGGUGAAACUCAAAGGAAUUGACGGGGGCCCGCACAAGCGGAGGAACAUGUGGUUUAAUUCGAUGAUACGCGAGGAACCUUACCCGGGCUUAAAUUGCAACUGACUGAACCGGAAACGGUUCUUUCUUCGGACAGUUGUGAAGGUGCUGCAUGGUUGUCGUCAGCUCGUGCCGUGAGGUGUCGGCUUAAGUGCCAUAACGAGCGCAACCCUUAUCGAUAGUUACUAGCAGGUCAUGCUGAGGACUCUAUUGAGACUGCCGUCGUAAGAUGUGAGGAAGGUGGGGAUGACGUCAAAUCAGCACGGCCCUUACGUCCGGGGCUACACACGUGUUACAAUGGGGGGUACAAAAGGCAGCUACACGGCGACGUGGUGCUAAUCCCGAAAGCCUCUCUCAGUUCGGAUUGGAGUCUGCAACCCGACUCCAUGAAGCUGGAUUCGCUAGUAAUCGCGCAUCAGCCACGGCGCAGUGAAUACGUUCCCGGGCCUUGUACACACCGCCCGUCAAGCCAUGAAAGCCGGGGGUACCUGAAGUACGUAACCGCAAGGAGCGUCCUAGGGUAAAACUGGUGAU